GACGAACGCUGGCGGCGUGCUUAACACAUGCAAGUCGAGCGGAGCGGCGAACGGGUGAGUAACGCGUGAGUAACUUCCCCCCUCUCUGGGAUAACAGUUGGAAACGGCUGCUAAUACCGGAUAGCGGGGGAUGACUCGCGUCCUAUCAGCUUGUUGUUGGGGUAGUGGCCUACCAAGGGGACGACGGGUAGUCGGCCUGAGAGGGGGACAGGCCACAUUGGGCUGGGAUACGGCCCAAACUCCUACGGGAGGCAGCAGUGGGGAAUAGUGCACAAUGGGGGAAACCCUGAGGCAGCAACGCCGCGUGCGGGAUGAAGGCCUUCGGGUUGUAAACCGCUUUCAGCAAUGACGCGGUAGUGGCAGAAGAAGCACCGGCUAACUACGUGCCAGCAGCCGCGGUAAUAC
rnacentral:rRNA from 1 species